CGUCACCACAGAAUGUCCGUUAAAGCGAGGGUUUUGGUGAGGGUUCUGGAAGUGGGGGCUAAGGUGGGUGGCCUCUGCAGCGUGUGGCUGUGUGACCCGACACAGGUGGCCUCCCAGCUGAGGUCGAGAACCCAUUGAGCGGCUAGGCCUCCACGUAUGCACAGACCCAAUGGCAGAAGCACCUGUGAACCAAGGCGAGAGCUAUGUGAGCCUGGAGGAUGUGUGCCUGCGCUUCACUGCAGAAGAGUGGGGUCUCCUUGAUGACGCCCAGAAGCUCCUGUACCACAACGUGAUGCUGGAGAACUUCUCGCUUGUGCUGUCCCUGGGACUUCCGAUUUCCAAAUCCUUCCCAGGAAUCACAGUUGAAACGCCCGGCUCCAGGGAGACGGCGCUGACUGGCGCUGACUGGCGUGCGCAUGAAACGGACUUCUGCACAGGAAGAAGCCGCGGCUGGUCCUGACCCUGCCUCGUUUUCUUUUCUGAAACAAAUGCUCUCCAGUAGAUUCCUCUUCAUUUCCUCCUCUGUAGGCGGAGGAGGAGCAAGCGCGGAUUCCUGUCUGCCCUCUGUGCAGAAGGUGAAGCAGAGGCUCCAGACUCACUGGAGACAUCCUGACACAUAAUGCCUUAUCCAGCACAAUGGGAUGCCCUUUACCUAGUCUUAUGAAGGUGCUGCCUUCCCUCCAGAACAAACAACGGAAAUGCAUCAAGAGGGCUCAGCUGCAGACAGAAUGCACCUCGAAGCAGAAGCCACUUGGGGAUUCCUCAGAUGAAAGCAGAUUUCAAUGAACAUUGUGUUUCGAAGCUUGCUUCCUCUCGCCCUGCGAGGCCCAUAGAAGGAACAUCCCACUUGUGGCUGCUGACACAAAGGAAUGCUGGGGCUGGGAGAUCUUAUCCGACCUUCCUGUACAACAGCAACAGAGCUCCGGUUGUGUCUUGCCUGGGAACAGCACGGCGCUCACUGCGGUCAUAUGCUAUACUGUACUUUGGUGCUUAACAACCUUCAUCGAGCUGUCACAGAAGGAUGAUUUCAUCGGGUCCUCGGAUAACCCUGGAUGUGGAUUGUAGAUUCAUUGAAGUCACAGAACUCCAGCUUAGAUUUGUGUCCACAACCCAAGAUCAGAAGCAUGACAAGUGACCAGUUAAUGUCCUUGCAAAAAUGGAUUAAUGAAUUAAUGAAACAAAGACAUUUCAAGAGUUUGUAGAGCAAUUUGCCAAGAAAAGAAUUUUUAAAGUUGGCAGUAUUUCUACAUUUUCUAUUUUAGGUAUCUUCCUCUUCUUAUUUAAAGCUUCCUCCCCUGUGUCAAAUAGCAGUUGUCACACUCAAGUCUAGCAAACCACAGAAAUCUCCAAGAUCCUCUGAGAAGGCUGUGCGAUCACAACAUCUUUCAUGACUUCCUGUUCUCAUUGUAUGACAUUUGCACUGAUGCUGGUGAGAAGCUGGAGCACCUUGGCCUGUCGCAAGAGAUCAUGCAGUGGCACUAGAAGGUGCCACCAUUACGCCGCCCCUUCCCUGCAAUGUGAAGGAAAGAGAAGGAAGAAACUCAAACUUCACCCAAAACCUUCCUAAGGAAGUCAGUGUUAAUUUCAGACGUCUCAGCCUUUGAAGGCAGUGCUCUGAUCUGAAUGGCACAGUAAGGUGUCCAGAAGGUUCCUCUGCAACCUACUGAAGCUUCGUGACUGGUUUUCUCAAAGACACCUGUGUGAGAUGGACUCUGAAGGUGUACUUGGCAUUCCUCCAUGGAAUGCUGUUAGCAUCGGAAACAUCAACUGACAAGCUAUGGUUCUUCAGAGUUGGACAUUGAUUUACUUUUCCUAUUAUUUAUUUAUUUCCUUAUUUAUUUGAGACAGGGUCUCUCUUCUUUCUACUUAGCACUGGCUGUUCUGUAAGUCGCCAGAUAGAGCAGACUGAUUUUGAAAUCACAGAGCUCCACCCGCCUUUGCCUCCCUACUGCUGGAACUAAAGGAGCUGGUGACAUUUUUCUUAAAAGUGAACAAAGUGGGUUUUAAAAAGAAUUACCUUGUUGACAUUCGUCUUUUCAUGAUAAAAUCGCUGUGAUAUCUUAUCUGGAACAUAUCACUGGAUCAGUGAUUGACUAUACUUAACGGGGACAAUAUGCCAAAAUGAAUGUAGAAAUGAUACAAUCUAGGGGUCUUGAAAUGACACGGUCUAGGAGUCUUAUCAUGAUACCAUCUAGGGGUCUUGAUUGGGUUAAUUUUCCCCGCUGGUUAAACAAAUAAAAAGCAGGAAAUAUCUUAAGUACAACAGGUAGCAGCAGAGAAAAUGCAAGCAUCGGCAUUGCAGACAGUUGAAGAGAGGUAUUUAUCAAGGAUGAGGAAGUAAAGACAUGUGCAGACACAACAGAGAAAAAAGACCUCCGACCUGGGAGUGUCCAAAGCCCGGGAAAAGUAUUUCUACUUUCUGAUUGGUCAGUUUGAAGACAGACAGGAUGGCUGAUUGGUCCACAACUGUGGAAAGGGGGUGAACUUGUUGAGUCAGUCCAUCAGAAGAGGGCCUGCCAGUGGGAGGAAACAGCCUAGAGCUUUAGUUUAAGCCGGAAGAGGCUUUUAUUACAAGCGAGGAGAGUGAGGAAGAAGUCAGCCAUCUUGGAAAUAGGCCUCCUUUAUUAGCCCAUUGUGGGUGGUGCUUUCCUAGGAAUAGUGUCCCUGAACAUGCCACAGGGAGCAAUCCAGUAAGCAGCAUCCCUCCGUGGCCUCCUCAUCAGCUCCUGCCUCCAGGUUCCUGCCCUGUUUGAAUUCCUGCCCUAAUUUCCUCCAAUCAUGGAUCAUGAUCUACCCCCUUCCAGUCAUCUGAUGGAAAUCGCUACAUUCCCUUGCAUAUUUUAACCACACUGCAGUCAGAUCUUCUCAUCUUUGGGAUACAGUGAUGAUAGUGGACAGGUGGAAACCUCGUCCUCCAGGCCAUGAUAUUAAGAGGUGAGUAGACUGGAGGGAAGAAGUGUAGCUCUGCCCUCCGACCUGGUGCUCUUGCUCCUUUCAAAGAUGUCCAUAGGAGACCCUCUGAUCUUUCAAUCAUGAGGGGCAGGGAGGGAAAGAACGGGGAGAUGUGUAGAGACGUGUGUUUGUUGCCGUGGUGUGCACGAAGUCAGAAGACAGGCUCAGAUGUCAGUCCUUGCCUCUAUGUGUUUGAGGCAAGGUUUCUUUGUUGCUUACUGCUGCACGGCUAUGCCAGGCCAGCUGAUUGAGAGCUUCCGGGGAUUCUCCUGUCUCCAAGUCCACUUCCUCUAGAAGAAGCACUGAGAUUAGAGGCAAGCACUACAGUGUCAGGCUUUAAGUAUGACGAGGGUUUAGGGGGCUCAAACUCAGGUCCUCGGCGUCUACAUCAAAUACUUCACCCCCGAGUUAUGUCUGCAACCCAGGAAUCUUUCUCCUAAUGAGCCAGGAAACAUCUUCUCAUCAGACACCAAGUCUGUCUUGUUCUUGGACUUCCCAGCCUCCUCUGCUAUAAGGAAUAAAACCUGCUGGUGUGAGCAGCCCAAUCAGACCAAUACCCAGAGAUCUUAAACUUAGAGAACAUUCAACGGCAAUCACCCGGAUGAUCCUGAAUUUAAUCACAAAAAUCAUCUGUAUUAUCUUCAGAAAGGACAAAGAAAAAAGAAAAAAGGAAAACCACAACAAUAACAACAAAAUUUAAACAUUUAAGCAGCCAUGCCAGUUACAGUAGUGGAUCUGCUGAUCCAGCACUCAGGCAACAGAGGUGUGGUCUUGAGUUGGAGACCAGCCUGAGCUAUAGAAAGAUAACCUAACCAGAGCUUCCAGGGACUAAGCCACUACCCAGAGACUAUACAUGGACUGACCCUGGGCUCCUACCUCAUAGGUAGCAAUGAAUAGCCUAGUAAGAGCACCAGUGGAAAGGGAAGCCCUUGGUCCUGCCAAGACUGAACCCCCAGUGAACCAGUGAACGGGAUUGUUGAGGGGAGGGUGGUAAUGGGGGGAGGAUUGGGAGGGGAACACCCAUAAAGAAGGGGAGAGGGAGGAGUUAGGGGGAUGUUGGCCUGGAAACAGGGAAAGGGAAUUAACAAUUGAAAUGUAAAUAAGAAAUACCCAAUUUAAUAAAGAUGGAGGGGGGAAAAAAAAAGAUAGCCUGUCUGAGAGGAUCUUAAAGGUGAUUUUAUGCCUGAACCUAGAAAUAUGAAGCUUUCCAAAACUUUCCUUUUUAAGUGAUCACAAGACAGAGAAGCUUAAAAAGAAGGUCAUUUAUCUUGCACCAAUACACAUUAAUUCGCACUUUUUGAGAGGGAACAGUUUAUAUUUCCCCAUUAACAUAUAUUAACCUUCUACAUAAAGGAUACUUUCUUGCAAACACAAAUAAAAUUCCCAGUGGGUGAAUCCUGGCAACAUCUGUCCUAUUCUAUAGUCUUAACAUAGAAGUCAUCAACGUCUACCACUGGGGGUCAAACAGCUCCUUGCUGCGUUGUUCAGGUGUGAGCUGAAAAUGUUCUGGACAUUCUUAGCAUGAAGCAGAGGCCACCUUUGCUUUACAACUUGUAGACUAGUUCCUAAGCAGCCUUUUAUGGAGGAGGACUGCUGUUCCCUACUAGAAAGAAUGGCAACAAAAGAACAGUGUCUGUUUUAUCUGAGAAACAAGUGGAUAAUGUUCACACUCUCUGUGUCCUCUUUGUCGCCACUAUCUUUAUCCUGUGUUGAACCUCUUCUAGCUACUAAAGACUUCCUUUAUAUGUCCUAUGCUUAAGUAACUUCCAGUAUCCCAGCUUUUUUUUUUAAAGCAAGUGAGACAUUAGUUUACUUGUUUUCUAAGAAAAAGAUUCCAGUCUUUAAAAUUCACUUUCCUUUGGGUCAGAUAUUCUUUUUUCCUGAAGAUAAAGAUGAUGAUACAGUCAGUUGGUCAUGGAGGCAGAGCACCCUUGAAAAUGAGGUCCCGAAUGCUCAAGACAGGCUCUUGCCUCCCAGAUGAAAUGCACAGUUUCUGGACCCAGAAACGGAACCGAGUCCAAAAGAACAGCAAAACAUUAACCUUAUUUUCCGAAUCUCUUUACCCAGGAAUUAAAGUGUGGGUGAUAUUUGUUUGGUAAAACGAAAAUGUCUCAAGGCUCUCUAAGCCUGCAAAAAAAUUCAUUUUCAGAGUUGCUAAAUGGCUUAUAAGCUUCAUUAGUAGUCAGUUGUAAGUAUUAUUAAUGCUUAGAAAACUGUUAAGUGACCAAUAAUCACUCGUGCCGAUUAAUUAUUACCCUGCCCUUUACCUGACUCAGAGGAUGCAUUUAAAUAGCCUGGGGGUGGGGGAUGGGAUGCUGGGUAUCUGGGCUCCUCCUAAUUAUCACUGGACUAUUUAAGAAAGGACAUUUGCAACUCCUUGGGGACCAGGCUGUUGCUGAGGAAACAUGAGGACACAGAUUUCUGACAACAGGACUUGGUUUUGAGAACUCAGGCUACAAGACUGAAACGAAUAAUGUGUUCUUCUCUGGAGGCAGAUGGGUAGUUAUCAAGAACUUCCUCCAACAAGAAAGUUUCGGAUCCCUGCCACAUCCUCCACCCCCUCACAGUGCCGGUUUCCUCCUUCUGGAAUUCUCCACUGUAAGCAGGGACCUGUCAGCAGAAGGGGGAGCGAGCUUGUUGUUGAGUCUCUUCCUUCCUUCCUUCCUUUCUUUCUUUCUUUCUUUCUUUCUUUCUUCCUUUCUUUCUUCCUUUCUUUCUUCCUUUCUUUCUUCCUUUCUUUCUUCCUUUCUUUCUCUCUUUCUUUCUUCCUUUUUUUCUUUCUUUCUUUCUUUCUUUGGUGGUGGUGGAGGCAGGGGUGGGGAUGGGCGUGAAAACCUGAUUGAUCCCAGUGGGUCAGUUCUCUACAUCUAGGCCUAGGUGGUGAUCCAUCUUAACUAGUGCCUGCUGUGCUAAGGAAUGCUGGUCUAGAACUUGACCCAAGAAACCACGGUGGUCAUUAGGGCUAUACCCAGCAUGCCCCAGCAACUACUUGCUGCUCUCUUCUGGCACUGCUGCGCCCAGCAAACAGCUAUCUAAGGAUUUUGGAAGAGAUAGUGUCCUUAAAGUCUCUGAGAAUGGAGAGGGCAUUGCUGUCAGACAGAAUCUUGCCUUAUUUCCCUUCAGACUAGAGACAUGAGUAAUUAGCCAUCCCACCCGCAGGCUCCUGACUUGCCUCUCUGGAGUGAGGACUUUCCACUUGCCUCUGGCACCCAGCAUUUCUGAGCAUUGCCCUGACCUUCCCCUUUAUGAUCUCCUUCCCAAAUUGUGACAGCCAGCUUGGACUUGACCCCAAAUUGCCCAGGCUCUUCUUCUAAGUGAAUACCAGGGAAGCAGCGGUGACUGAAUCAUGCAGGGCCUCCCCUUGCACACAUCCCCCAUUCAUCUUCAGACUUUGAGUUCUGGGGACUCUGAGCAGACAGACAGUCACCUUGAAGUCUGAGCUUUGGACCACAUUCAAGAAUGUAGCUAUGUCUUUUGCUGGGGUGAGGAAGGGGUGAGCGGUAGUGUUAUUACAUUUGCAGUAUUGACUUUAUCCUCCAGCUCUGAGCAAUGGGUUUACUUGAGCCUGGUUACUGUCUUGACCACACAGCCAAACCAGCAAACCCUCUGAGGCCUGGCUGUGGGUGCCUGCUCUGCAAGUUUUUCUGUGGCCGUGUGUAUGUAGCACUUUCCAAGAAGUCCCAGAGCAAAGUUAAAACUAAGAAGGAGUGGUGUAGACCAAGCAUUCAGCAAAGCCCCUUGUGGAGUCUGGGAAGGAUGCUGAACAGAAUUCCUGAAAUUACCCUGCACAAGAAGGGAAGCCUUAAUAGUAAAGUGCAGUCGAUGCUGUCUGACAGAAGGGGUGUGUCAUCAUCUCUGAAAAUGGAACGAUCCGGAAUUAACUGUUGAUCCUUUUAUUGGCUCUUUUUAUAGAUAAGGAUCAACGGCUUAGCCAACAUAACUCUUAUGAAAUCUCAGCAAAAUUAGAACCAGAGCCUUCCUCCCUUCUGGCUACACUGUUUUCAUUCAGUAAGUGCCCAGUGCCCGUUUAAACUCACGGCAUUGUAAUUUAACAAUGUAGGAGUGUAUAACUGGUGUCAGGAAAGAUAUAAAAGAUAUAUUUCAAUAGAUAGCAAAGCACCAAUCUGGUUUAAGAAACACACUAAAUAUAUAUCUCUUUCUGCUGCUUUGAAGCAAUAGGAUAUCAAUAGGAAACACCUUUAUUUCGGCUCACAGUUCCAGGUUGCAGUUUGUGAUCUUGGAGAAGUCACAGUAACAGAAGCUGAAAGGAACUGGUCACAUUGUAUCCACAGUCAGGAAGCAGAGUAGUGCGAACACUCUGGCUACUCUCACUCUCUUCUCACUUUUAAACAGCCCGGGAUGGGAAUGACUCCACCCCCGUGCCUUCCCAUCUCAACCAAUCUAAGCAAAACACCCCCACAGGUAUGCCCAGUUAGUUGUCUGCCUUCUGGGGGAGUCCAGUUCUCACCAAACAGACGACUGAGGUCAACUAUCACAGUGAGUAUUAACUCUUUAAAUAAUUCAAAGUAAUCUGUGCUUACGUGGUAGUAGGAGUUUAUGUAGGACCAUAAAAAUACAGGUUAAGGAACCCAACACAAAUUCUUAAAACCCUAAUCCUCCAAAACUCAGAAAUCUCUCGAGCGCUGGCAUAAUGCCACAGUUGUGUGAAAAAAUGUUGUAUAAACCAGGACAGACAGGCAGACAGACAGACAGAGAGACAGACAGAUAGUGCAUAUGAAACAAGUUAAUAUGCUUCAACUUGGUCUUGUCCCCAUAAUAUCUCAUUAUAUAUGUGCAAAUAUUUCAAAAUAAAAAACAAAUCUAAAAUCUGAAUCAUUUCUGGUACCACAAACUCCAGAUAAGAGAUAUUUAUCCUGAUAUAGUUUGUAAGUCUGGCUCAAGUCAAGACCCCGUGUUGAAUAUUAUGGAAAGUAAACUGAACGACUGCACACAUAUUUUAAAGAAAUUAAACCACGGCUACUUAUUGCUGAAAUGCUUCUAAGAUCCAGUUAUCAUUCUUGAAAGGAAAUGUCUUAAUGUUGAUUGCAUUCAUAUCCAGUCUAGUUACAUGGACUGUAGACACAAGUUUACAGUUAUCCUCAAGGAGUCAGACUUUCCUGCCCGGAGGCAAAGCUCUGGGCUAUAAUGUUGACUUUGUUUAUUUAAAUAAUCCCUUUGAACAAAGCCCAAAAGCUUAAAAGGUAUCCAAAUAUACUACCAGAUCACGGUUUCGGCAGCCAUCUGAUACUAAAAAUAUAAAAAGAUCAUGAUUUCCAAUGACCUUGAUUUAUAUAAAUGUAUACACACAUCCUUAUGGACUUAUAGGAGCUAUAAAAAAUUAAGCAAUAUUGCUCUUAAGAAUGGAGUGCAUGCUAGAAGCAAAAAAAAAAAAAAGGUUUUUAUGGAGUCAGAAAGAUGGCUCAGUGACUAAGAGCAUGUACUGCUCUGGCAGAGGACCUGAGUCUGGUUUUCAGUACCUGCAGAGAGUGUGUGUGUGAGUGUGAGUGUGUGUGUGUAUGUGUGUGUGUGUCUGUGUGUCUGUGUGUCUGCAUCUGUGGGUAUCUCCAUCUGUGUGUGUGUUUGUGUGCAUUCAUGUGUAAAUGUACACACACCCAGACACACACAGUAUAUAGACAUGUGCACAACUGUCUAUAACUCCAGCUCCAAGAUCUGAUGCCCUUUUCUAGCCUCUGGGAGCUCUCUCCUGCAUCCACAUGGUACACAUAAACUCACACAUGCACACGCGCAUACACACACACACACACACACACACACACACACACCAAUAAAAAAUAAAUAAAAUUUAAAAUAGUUGCAUUUAAUAAAAGAAUGAAACCAUAUUUCAAAGGAGGACAGAUUUUCAGAUCUUUGUGUACUCAGUCGAACUGAGGCCUAAUACCAUUGUGUCUACUGCAAAGUCCAUCUCACCAGAGAGAAAAGAAGGUAGACAUUUGUGGUAUUUUCAUAUAAGAAACCAAAACUGUGUACAACUUUCUGCUCUGACUGCAUUGCCAGCCAUCGAUGUGACACUCGUUUCCCAAGAGUAGAGUGGAAAAUAACCGUGUAGUAAGUGGUAAUAUCCUCUCUCAAGAUUGACAAUGCUCCCUAUUCAUGGAGUUUUACAGACCGCAGAAGUUUUUGCAAAAACAUUUUUCACCACAGAUUAAUUUUUCUUAUAUCAUGCUUUUUGAAACAUUCGUGUAUCAAAUAUCCUUUGAAACAUAUCCACUAAUGUUAUCGCUGCAAAUUCCCCGAAGCGCUCAUGAUUUUCUAACUAGUCUUGCUAAAUUGAUUGGUCAGAUGGUUGAAGACUAAUGAAGAAAGUAAUUUUGAAUUCUCAAAGCAAGCCAAUAAAAACUAAUAAUUUGAAUGUGUGGCUGGUUGCUAGUACAUUGUUCUCUCCAGCAACCUAUGCUGAUUACAGCAAAACAGUCAUUAAAAAUCCUCCAAAGGAUUACACUCAAACUGCUACAUUGUUUCAAGUAAUGUAUUUCAUUUUAGUCAAAGUCAGAGAUCUCCAUCCCUGCUCAGUCAACCUUGAUCCUCCACUGGCUUGACUUGGCACCUAAAGCACUCUCUUAGCAGUAGAAACAGGUACCCUGUUUUCCCCUGUGUCCAUUCCCCCUCACCCUCUGUCCUUUCUUGCCCGAAUGCUGCCAUGUCUAAUGAGCUUACAAUUACUUCUAAACUUCUUUCCAUGAGGAGAUCUGCAUGCCAACUGGGAAGACAAUGUAAUCAACCCACCCCACAGAAGUCGAGGUGUGUCAUGUGACAAGCGGGAGGCGGUGAAAGGGGUAUUCGAUGGAACUCUCCUCGAGGCUGCUAAGCUCAGUAUCAUGUCGGUCUCCCUCCAUGUCUGAGAGCUCCCAGUGCUCACAGGAUACAAUCGUGGAGUCAGCUCAGGCAGAAGGCGAGUUUCUCCUGGAUCAAUAACGGGGUGGAGGAGGAAGACAAAGGGGAGGGGAGAAGAGGGGGCAGGCAAGCAAACUGGAGAAAUGGAGGAAGGGAAGGGGAGAAAAGAAAAAGACAAAGAACUAAGGAAGGAAAGAGCGGGAGGAUACACACUUAUCUGUUUUUGUUCUUUGACAACAGUGGCUUCCACGUGGCCAAUAAAGAUGACUUUCGUUAAAGGGUGACAUAUCAUCCAGCCAAUGUCAUAGUUUCUGCAGCUGUGCAUCAGCAGUUACUAAUCUGGCAACCACUGUGUAGUCAAAGAGCUACCUGAAAAGCCACUCUUGUCGAAGAACAACACAAUCACAUGUGUGCUCAUGAUUGGACGCCUGCCGAUCGCCAUCUAGUUUUGUUGUUAGGUAAAGUUGGCGUGACUGUAAGGCAUGGCGAGGCCGUGGAUGGACAUCCACCUGCCGUUCUGCCACUUUCAACUCAGGAAACACCGGCAGCAGCCAGUUAGGUCUAAGUCUGAAGGCCUCGGGGUACCACUCCUUUUCCUUAUGCCAAUAAAGUGGACUAAGAGAAAGAAAUCCCUUUCUGGCUGAUGGAAAUGAUCCAGGGAUGCCAGCCCAGUCCUCCUCCUCCCCUCCUCUGGGUGAGACGUUCUGCUUCUCAGUCCUCUGUUAUAGCAACAGAGGCUUAGCGCUCUCUUCCUCCAUAAUCCUGCUUGUGUGAUCUUUCCAAAACACUGGCACACCAAAGUCCGUUCACUAAGGAGCUUAUGCACUCUGCGUGCCUUGCCUUUGACAGAGGAGAAAAUUUAAGCCCCUUAAGCAAGCACCAAGGACAUUUGUGACUUGUGGCAUCUUUAAUUCUGCAGUCACUAAUUCUCACUAGAGCUUCACCGACUCGUUGUAUGAAAUGGCCGCCAAUCCUGAACAUGACCACGACCUUUCCUGGGGCCAUGUCUGCAGUUAGGCUGAUUCAUCAGCUUGCUUCUCUUUUUGUUUUCUAACCAGCUGACUGGCAUCAGCUCACCCAUGACAACGUCUUACUGCUCCCACCUGACCCUAUAGGCUUCCUGUGCCCACACUCUGAGACGCUGCUUCGAUGGCUGCUCUCCUCUUACAAUGUUACUUCCUGCAUAGAGAUAACUGUCGGAAUCUGCUGAUUUCUGUCUUCACACUACAUUUUGAACUCCUUCGGGUGGGUGCAUGCAGAACAAUAGAGUGACUUAAUUAAAUACACUUUUGUCAAAUAUUAAUGAAUUAAUAAUAUCACUAAGAGCCAACAUGGUAAGGGGCAGGGAGGAGAAUAGGGAGGAAGAAGAGAUUUAAGAACAAUGGUGAUGAUGGUGGAGUUAUUUCUCUAUACUGUUAACUAAGUGGUUAAAGUAAUAAGAAACCAGAGCAGGCUCCUAAGGCACAAUUGACUUGCUUUUGGGCAAAACAGUUCGCCUGUUUCAGUGUCAGCUAACUUCAUAGCUGUUCACAAAAGCAAAUGAAAUAUUAUAAGGUAUCUACAAUAUUUUAUAAGAUAUAUUAAGAUCCUAAUGAUUAAGGAUAUUACAAUGAAGAAUCUGGUAAAUGGGAACCACAGCCAUUGGAAUUUGACUAUUUUCUGUCUUGGCAAUCUACCAUAGCAAAGAGCUUACUUAGCCUAGGGUUUUAAGACAGAGAGUUAAGCAGAGAAGCCACUCUGAUGCAGGAGAUGUGAGGAAAUAGAAAGGAAGGAGGGGACAUCAGUCCCAUCAGGGAGAGGCCCUCACCACAGUCCAAGCCUUCCCUUCUUUCCAUGCUCUAUGUCCUCUUGCUAUACAGCAUAGAGAGAUAAUGAGGGACCAGGUCACACUCUGUGCCAUGGUGGCCUGGACUAGGUCAAGGGCUUCAGAGUGGUUUCUUGUGACUGUGUGGGGCAAUCUCCCCCCAGACAACAAUUUGAGUUACCUCAGCACCAGCUAACCAUUUAGAUGCAUGAAGCACUCACUUGUCCUCAGGCUACUACGUUAGUCUGUGAGGUUCUUCAUCUGUUGUGUGAGUAUUUUUCUCCUCUUCCAUCACUAGGUAUUUUCUCCUUAGUUUUGCAGCUAUGACUGUCAGAACUAUUCUUAUUUACUUAUUUAUUUAUUUAUUUAUUUAUUUAUUUAUUUAUUUAUUUAUUAUGCAGUUUUCUGCCUGCAUGUAUGCUUACAAGCCAGAAGAGGGCAUCAGAUCUCAUUACAGAUGGUUGUGAGCCACCAUGUGGUUGCUGGGAAUUGAACUCAGGACGUCUGGAAGAGCAGUCAGUGCUCUUAACCUCUGACCCAUCUCUCCAGCCCCAGAACUAUGCAUAUAUUAACUUUUAUAAAAAAAAACCAUAGUUCUCUUUCUUUCUCUUUCAUGUGACUGUUGCAGAUUUUUUUGUAUUAUCUUUUAAGUCUACGAUGAGUUUAUCAGAUUUUAGGUCAAUAAAACCUACUGGUACUUUGGCUGGGAUUAGAUUUCGUCUUAGAUCAAUAUGAGAAUAAUUGGAAUUUUACUAUUCAAAAUGUCAGCUCAUGAAUAUUUAUCUGUUCAGCCUCCCUGUUAGUCACUUGGUCCCCAGUUGCUGAUACCGUUUUGGGAGGUUGAUGGACCCUUGAGGACAUGGGCCUCACCACAGAAGUGGUCACUGGGUGCAGGCCUUACGGGUUAUAGCCAAUCCCAUUACCAGUGCAAGUUCCCUCUGCCUCAUGGCAGCCACAGGUUUGUAGCCACAGGCUUUUAUUUCCAUGGUCACGAUUGUGUCAUUGCGUGCUAUUUCUGUUGCCAGUGUCUUCCCAACUACAAUGGACCAGAUCCCCUCAUGCCGUGAGCCCAAAUAAAUGUGAUCUCCCCCAAGUUGUGUCUUUAGGCUGUUUCAUCACCAAGGUGACAACAGUGGUGUAGUGUAGCUCACACCUCUGCGACUUUAUGUUUAUCCAGACCAGCUUGUGAUUCUUUCAAUGGCAUCUCAAAGCUUUUACUACAAAGCUUUGGGCUCUGAAAACCUCGGCUCUUCAUAGUUUACAGAUUUUGAUACUGGAGUAGUUCAAAUUGCUUUUUAAAUUUCACUUUCCCUCUGUUUCUCGUAAGUCCAUCCUAUAUUUUAUGUAUUGAUUUUGUAGCCUGUGGACUUGGGAACUUUACUCCUUGGUUCUUGUUUUCUUCCUGAAUCAAGCUUUCCAGGGAGGACAUGCUUUCUCAGCUGUAGGCUCUCCAUUUGUCCCUAAAUGUUUAAUAAAACUUACCAUCAGCUGGUGAUCAUGGAAAAGAAUUAACUAUAAACUUAGUUUUCUCUUAAAAGGGAUAUUUUAAGUGCUAGAGCGAUGGCUCAGUGGUUAAGGGCAUUGGUUGCUUUUCAGGGGACCUGCUCUUUGAUUCCCAACACCCUCAUGGUAGCCUAGAACCGUCUGUAACUCCAGUUCCCGGGGAUGAUCAGGGACCCUUUUCAAACUUCUUUGGGCACCAAGCAUGUACAUAACACACACACACACACAGACAGACACAGACAGACACACACACACACACACACACACAUAUAUACACAUAUACAUGCAAGAAAAGCAUUCAUAUACAUUAAAUUAAAUAAGUAAGUCUAAAAAAUGUCAAGGGCUAUUGUCCCAUUUAGUAGGAAUAGUUCACCACUGCAUAUAUGACCCACAUAUAAAGACCCACAAGGCCUUUAUGAAAGUCUGAUAUUGUAGUUUGAACAUUUCUACUACUUUAAUUAUAUUUUUAUGAAAAUACAUUGAAUUUUAUCAAAAACAUUUUUGAACUGAUUAAAAAGAUUGUUUUAUUCUACUAAUAAUUUCAAUAUACUAAAGAGUAAUUGAUUCUUGAGAUUUCUUUUUGUGGCAAACUACAUAAAACAUAAACUUUGUUCCUAUAUUUUUAAACGUAUAGUUCAAAGGUGUUAAUUGCAUUCAUACUCAGAAUCUGUAUAUAUACCUCAUCUAUAGAAAUAUAUCUAUACAUUCCACCUAUAGAACUCUUCAUUUUGCAAAACCGAAACUUUGCGAGUAUAAAAUAAUGUCCCAUCCCUAUCUCUCUAUUCCUAGAGCCACCAUUCAUGUUGUUUCUAUUAUUUUUUUUUUUUGGUUUUUUUUUUUUCGGAGCUGGGGACCGAACCCAGGGCCUUGCGCUUCCUAGGUAAGCGCUCUACCACUGAGCUAAAUCCCCAGCCCCUUGUUUCUAUUAUUUUGACAGAGCUACAUCCACAGGCCCAGAAAUAAUUGCUUCACGAAUAUUGAACCAACCCUGCAUUCUGAUUAUAUAUAUAUAUUUCUCUACUAAAGAUCAGUUGCACUAUUAAUAAAACCAACCUGAUUCAAGUAAUAAUACCUAGAAUAAACACUUGAAACAUCUCAGUACUGACAAAUGGUAUAAGGCUGGUUUCACUGUUUUCCCUAACCCAUGGGCCUAGGUUCAAACCAAUGGCCCAAGAACCCUCUUUGUGUGUAAGCCAACUUUCUUAAAUAAGUGAAGCCACCACCCUUCAAAAACAAAACCACAAACAAACAGAAUGACCCAAGCUCUCUUUACAGCAAACAGACCAACACAGAAAACCACACGUGGACACACUGCAUAUACCAAUCGCUCAAGGGGAGCCCAGCCCCAAGGCACAUCACAGUUCCAGCACCUAUGGCUCAGGGAACAUUGCAGAAGAGAGGGCAGAAAGAAUGUAAGAACCAGAACACCAGGAAGUUGUCUGUGAAGCAGCCUUUUCUAGAACUGGGUGCAUCUACAAGAUGGAAAAAAAUAGCAACAUCAGUAGGCAUGUCCGAUAUCAAUAGGCAUGUUCAACAUCAAUAGGCAUGUUCAACAUCAAUAGGCAUGUUCAACAUCAAUAGGCAUGUUCAACACCAAUAGGUGUGUUUGACAUCAAUAGGCGUAUUUGACAUCAAUGGGCAUGUUCAACAUCAAUAGGCAUGUUCGAUAGCAACAUCAAUAGGCAUGUUCGACAUCAAUAGGCAUGUUCAAUAACAAUAGGCAUGCUUAUGUAGAAGGGAACGUUUCACAGGGCUAUUAACUAAGAGUGGGGAUAUAUAGGAUGUUGAGGGGAACUGGGAGGAGCUGUAUAGAGGAAAGACAGGAGAAAGUGAUGUAUCUGCCUCAGUUAAAACUAAAUUCUGGGAGAAAUAAUCUAGGACUACAUGGAUUCCAACACUGCACUAGUGGACAGAGUAGAACCUGUUAAGUGGUGGAAUUUGAAAUGUGUCAAGACAACACUCCAGUUGACUUUUGGAAAUGUCAUAGUCAGUGAAUCAAGGGAGGUGCUGGCUACAAUUUGUGUCAUAUCACAGGGUAAAUAUCUAGGAAAUAAAGCUUUAAAUGUGAAACCAAGUAAAAGCUUUAGGGGUAUAUAGGUAAGAUGUAUUGAAAACCAUAAUGGGAUCCAGGUGUGCACCGGUAGCCCCAGCCUUUAAGGGGGUGGGGCAACACCACCAACUUGAGGCGCACUUGAGUGAGGCUGUUAGAAAACUACAAGACUGUAGUAGGAAAGAUCUGUCUGUCUCUGAGUCACAUUCUAAAAUCUAGAGAGAAAAUAACAAUAAAAUCAAAUGCAUCCAUUAAAAAAAGAAAAACCUAAAGCAUUGGCUGAGAAUUACCACAAGCAAAAUCUAAAGAUCGAAAUCUGGCUUUAAAAAUGCUAACUAUAAUAUUCAAUACCACAGUAGGUCUCAGAAUUCUAGAGAAAAGCAACCAGUAAUGGCUUUGCUAUGGGAGAAGAACACAGACGAACUUAAAACUGGCCCUUCAAGAUUUGUGCCUUUGACAAGAAACCAAGUCCUUAAACUACAGUAAGGUUACAUUUGUCAUUUAUCAUGUUGGCAAAAGUAUAGCACAUACUCUUCUGGUAAGACAAUGGAAAUAAACGAUUAGUCUCAUAGAUGACUAGAAAGAGACAGAGUGCCCCAAACCCCAUGGAAGACCCUGGGAGAGCAGCCACAUCUAGCAACAUUGUGUCAACAUCACCUCUACUCUUGUGUUUUGGUUAUAAGCUUUGCUUUCAAAGGCUGAGCUGUCUCUCCGGCCCCACAUUUAGUCUUUAAGCCAGCUAUAGUUUGUCUCUGAAUCUAGCCAUUACUUAUCCCUGAACAUGUGCAAAACAGACUAUCAGCAGGGUGUUUCAUACACGACAAUUUGCAGCAGAAGAUACUGGAAAUUACAGAAGACUUCAGCAAAUAGAUUCCACUUGAGUAGAAUCUAAUACACUCCUAUGGUUAAAUACUCCAUCGCUGUCAAGAAAAAUGACAACACAUUUAUGUCCUCCUAGAGAAAGCUCUGUAUUAGAUGAGGAAAGCAAGAUGCUUAAUAGAAGACUAAAGACGGGCAUACAAUUUAUAUUUGCCUAACAAAAGAAUGUAAGGCAAACAGAGAAUAAAAGUGUACAGGGGGUGAUGAAGGAAGGUAGUAAAUUGGACAAAGAAAAGGGAAAAUUUUAGUGUGGGCAAUAGCUUUCUGUCACUAUAACAAAAUACCUGAAUCUGAGUGGGUACUUUAUAAAGAAAAGAGAUUGGUUUAGUUCAAGUUUUGGAUGUUGUGCUAGCAUAGUUUUGCUGGCAUUUAGUCCACUCCAGUGAGACUCUCAUCAUGGUGGGGCCCCACGCAAGAAGAGAUCAUAAUGCAAUUUAAGAAGUCACAGGAAAAAUGGGGCAGUAAUAACCCCCUACUGGGCUCAACCUCUUAAAAGAUCACACCAUGCCUUAGCAUUACUACUCUGGAGACUAAGAACUUAACAUGCUGACCUCUGGGGAACAAACCCCAUCCAAAUCACCACAGUGUGAUGACUUUCUUUCAUUUUAAUUUGGGGCUUUAUUUAAAGGAAGCUUUCUGGAAAAAAAAUAAACUCAUUUCCCUGGGAAGUAAAAUGUUGCAACUUAGUAAAAUGAAGAAAGCUUUGGUCCUAGUGAACGCGGUCCUGUGAGACACUGCAUGAAGAAAUUUCACCUUCAUGGGAAGGUGGGGUGGGAGAGAGUAGACAGAAGAGAGGAGAGAGGUGGGGCUUCAAUAGGGAAGGUGGCGCUCUCCAGGGUGCUCACAGGGGCGGUGCCCAGGCACCAAGUCAAGGAAAACAGCCAGGACAUCAGCCCAGUUUAUCCUGGCAGGAGCAUGGCUGCAUUCCACUCAUUGUCUUGGUUCCCUCUGGUAGCUCAUCAGCCAGGGAACUGAGGCCUUGCAGCUUCCCCCACGUGAAGGCCUCCAGACCCAUUAGCAAUACCUUCCACUGCUUUCCUUGAAACACUCUUCUAUAAUUACUUUUCUUUCUCAGGAAGACUGGCCCACUGGCCCUGACCUAAAUUUGGGUUUCCUGAUUCCAUUCCCUUCUUAUGGAAAGAGCUUAGAGUCUUCAUCAAGCCCCACCUCUGUUGAUUUCCAAAGAGACAAAGGCUCUUUUUUGAUUAAUUAACUUUAAAAUCUUGUAUGUGAGCAUACCCUUUCUCUAUUCUCCCCGUGUCCCCCUAGGCAAUUGCAGUUCCUUCGUUUUAUACAUACACAAGCUUUAUGGGUCUAUAUAAAACUUGAGGAACUACAGAUGAGAGAAAGCAUACAAUAUUUGUCUUUCUGAGGCUGGCUUAGUUUAAUCUUCAGCUGUGCCCAUUUCCUGCAAACAUUACUUGGUUCUCCAUCAUGGCUGACAAGUAUUCUUCUGUGUGCAUACAUAAUGAAUGCAAACAUGAAGAUCAGUUAGCCUCUGGCCUGAGUUUCUUUGAGGCCAAACCCAUAAUGUCAUGUCUUCUUUCUGCGUUCCUCUGUUGCUGGGUGUCUGGGUUAGUUCCAGAACCUAGCUACAGUGAACAAUCUCAACAGUAGUAUCACUGUAGUAUACUCCAUCUCUGUGGUAAGUUGACUGAAAGCCCGUCGGAACUAGACCUCGUGAAGGCUUUGGUUUGUUGAGAAACUGUUUUGCCCUUUUGAGACAGAGGAUCAUGUGUCCCAAGGAAACCCAAGCAGGUGGUGAUUCUGAAGUAACUUGUCACCCCAGAGCUCAUGCCAGCCAUGGGUACAAAUCUUCAAGUGUCCCCCUUGAAGCUGGGAAGCUGGGUCAGCGAGGCUACUCACAUACUGAUCUUUGCAGGCAUCAAGACACGAAGAUCGCCACUUCUGGCCUUCUCCUUCAGCUCUGACCCCAGGAUUAUCCUUCAGUAAACUGUAUCCUCUACUACACACAGCAGAGAACAGUGAUGUUGGUGUCGACAAAACAUACAUCUGUUUCAGGGCCAGGACAUAUUCCCCCAGGGCCCCAUACAAUGAUGCUUGCCUUGUUGCAGAUUCUGUAGCAGAGAGGAUAAGGGGACAUUAAAGGACAGUUAUCCUCAAAUGCUAUCCACACAGGAGCAUGCAGAGAAAAAUACUAAAAAUAAGCAUGCCAGCUAAGUGUGGAAGGCCACACUGCUUUGCAGCUGGCAAGGCUUACUCCUCAAAGGGCUGUGGACAAGCAGUGUCAGCAUGACCAGCAAGUUUCCAAAAAGUGCAGAGUCCCAGGUCCUAGCCCACACUGGCAAACCCAGAUUCUGUAUUUUAACAAGAUCCCGUUGAUUGAUAUGUACACUCAAAUUCACCAAAUGCCAGCAGAUAUAAGUGAGAUGCUACCACACUCUUGCCUGCACCAGCCCUUAGAUGUUUCCUGGUGUUGUUGGGUCUUAAUCCACACUAGUGUGUACACCAUGGCUGGUCCUCCCUGGGAGCCAUUGAAAGGAGAGUGUGGGAUGAAUCUCUCUUCUUAAUCAACUUGACUGUUGAGUUUGCAUGAAGCAAAAGUCUAGUGAGCAAUUCAAAACAGAGAGCCUUAGCUUUAAAACCCCAACCACAGUUAGAGACACUUCCUAAAAGAGAAGAGGGAGGCUCAACUCUCACCUCUUAAACUCAAGAUUUAGUCCUUAUAGUCCCAUCUACUCCCCAAAACAUGGGAGUGGGGCACCCCCAUUCAAAGAAGGAAUUCACCCAGACUUUCUUCCUUGUAGCCAAUUCUAUAUUUUCACCCUGAAGCUAUGGGUUCAGCUGGACUAGUUCAGCUCCUGGGGUCUGUAGGCCUUUGUAGUGGUGACAAAGACAGCACUUCCUGAUAUAUGAGUUCUCCACUUUUGCACUGAUGUGAGCCAAAAACAGGUAAGUUGCUCUAGAAGACUCAUUAGUUAGUGAGUUCGAGGCCAACCUGAGCUGUAUGGUAAGAGUCAAGGGUCCAAGAGUUGAGAAUAUAGCUCAGAGUGUGGGCACCCUGAUCUUCAGAACUGACAGAGACUUGCUUGUCUUGGAAAGACAACUCUGUACAUAUGAUCCAAGCAGUGUGGAGCUAGACUCCCUGGGUUCGAAUCCUACUUAACGUAGAUCAGAAACCAGGAUGCACUGGCUGUAAGUACUUAGCAUCAUUAUGUAGGAUGAAAUAAUUUCUAGAAACCCAUCAGAAUGCCAGCACCUUGGCGUUAAAGAGUAUUUUGAACUGAUUAUCUGGGAACUUGAGACAGGCCGACUGCAGAGAAAGCCAUUCGUAUGCUUGAAGCACACCAAGAGCAUUUGCCGUGGGCAUGAAAAGGGCAAGCCAAGACUUCCUGUUGCUGCUUCUUCAGCCUUCAGCUCUUGGUUCCCUGUGUAGGGGCAUCCGUUGCCCCCAUGCAGGCGCACGCAUUGCUCUCACGGAGGUGCAUGCUUCGCGUGUGGGGGUAUGGCUCCGCCUUGUUGCCAUUCCCCUUUGCUUCUACCCACUCUUUUAGGUGAAUGCCAUCUAGUUCUUUUUCUAUUGCAGAGCAAGCUGCCUUCAUCAAACUCUUUCCUUGCAGUGAGGAUGGACUGCAGGAGUCAGCAUGAAAUGAUUUCCGUACAAUUGAAGAGCUUCAGGAUAUAAGCAAGAAAUCAAAGAGCCAUAUGCAAGUGGAGAAUUUUAGCACUGACAUCUCUCUUUUUAAAGAUAUGCUAAUUGUAAUAAGGUCUUUUUUUUAAAUCAAAGGGUACUUAAAAUAGCUCCCAGCAAAUCUGAGGGUUUGCGAACAAUACUCUUGGUAUUCUAUCUGGUGAGUCAGCUCCUGGGUGACACUCUGCGCUGGGUGUCAUCAGGCGUGACUCUGGGGAUUAGUGCCAAGAGGGUUAAUGUGGUUCAAGUGCUAAGAAGACAGGUCCCCUAUUUUACAGAGUGCUGAAGCAUUUAUGUGGGGAUUUAGAAUACUUUCAGGUGUUCUAUGAAACUCACAAAGUUAUUUUUAAUUCUUCUUAAAGUAGUAGAGAUUCUUAACAAAAGUUUAUCUUAGAGAAGUAAAGAAAGAGCUGUUCACGUUAUAUAGUAUUGAGAACACUGAGAAAGACCACUUAUUCAUUAUUUAUAUGAUACUAACAGCUAACUUUAAAAGCCUUGAUUUUCUUCCAUCAAUAACAUUGUGCAUAAAAACCCAUAUUUUGCUGGUAAGGUUAAAUGAGAUAACAUAUAUGGGACACUUAACAGCAUGCCUUCGUUGCUAUUACAAAUGCCAUAAAGCACAUAGUCAAUAACUGUUCAAUAAAGCUUAGCAUACUCAAGCGAUCCAACUUUUGAGUCUAUGAGCCUUCUCCCUGCCUACAUUGAGCGUCCAUCACCAGGAGUAUGUUUACAUUCAGAGCACCUAGGGCAUGAUAAGAGCUCAAUAAAGUAUAAGAGUCUUUGUUAUUUCUACCAGAUGAACAUGCUAAUUCAUUCAUCAAAUAUUUUGAAAGCAUUUAGGCAUCUCAGUGAUUUGAGGGAAACUAAGGUAGAUUGUCAAAGUUUAGUUAUUUCGGAUAGGAGGAACAUGGCCUUGAAUCAAGGCAGCUGUGUUCACAAGACGUUCCCAAGGUCUAGCCUAUUAACUCCCCAGUAGUAGAGGUAGGGAGACUCAUGAACCAUAUAAGGCUCCCAGAGACAGAGCUCACAGACCCUCCUGGGAUCCACACAAGACCCUUCCCAUUUCUGAAGUUAUAUAAGAUUUAAACAGUUGACUAGGUUAGAAUGCUUUAGUACAAUAGCUAAUGGAAGGGUCCAAGAAUUACUGAAAACCCUAGACUCAAAUAAUAGGCAAAGACAAAGAAAGUUUAUUCUUCAGAAACAGACAGCAUGCAGGGGUCAACCUCGAGGGAAGCCCACAGGCCCCUUUUAAAACCACUUAGGGAUUCUAUAGUUGUGGUUGGGCUUGUGGUGAUAUUUGUACACUUCUGAUUGGUUCAUACCUCGAGGGAGAGAGGAUUACCUUAGAGGGACUUUUCCUAUAUCUGGUGUAAGCUCCUGGCCAGAUGUCAGGGCAGCUGUUGAUUGGUUGCCCUUUUUCUGCAGUUCUUCCAAGAAGCCUGAACUGUCCUUCUGGGAAAUUGAUGCUUAAGUCCUAACAUGGCUCUCUGUUCUAAAAUGAAGUGAGUUAGGUCCUCUUGCUAACUAAGUCACCUGGGGGAUUUUUUUUCAGUGGUCCUGAAGCAUUGUGUUCUAGGUAGGACUCUUUAGCAUAUGCAAGUUCCCCAGAAGACUUCCAAGAAUAUAGCUGCAUUCGAAUUCCCCGUGUUUCUAGGACCAACUCAUUUCUUCAUCAAGUUGGACUUGAAUAGAAUCCUGUCUUUGAUCUGGCAGUGUACUUUGUGUUUAGGAUGAAUAAGCAUUUCUUUAUGACUCUUUAGCCACACAACAAAGAUGUAGUCACUUAUUGAUGUAUAGAUUCAAUUGGUUUGAGGUGAGCUGAAAGUGAGCAGAGAGAUAGGCUAAGAGUUUGAAUUUCAAUAAGAGGUAGAUCAUGGUACUAGGACAGUCCAGGGGUGUUAAAAUUUAGAAAUAGACAACAAAUCAGGGAUUGUAGUUUUCAGAACUUAGAGAUAUUUAUCAGAUAUCCAAGUAGCAGGUCAUAGAGGCAGAGGCAGUUAACAUAUAAAAUAUUUACAUGAGUGUACAUAGAGCUUGACAAAUAAGUGAUGAAUAAAUACUGAAUGAAAAAAUGUAUAGAAAAAACAAGCAAGACCUGCCUUGAGAGCUUAGGGGCUUCAACUCUCAGAACUUGGAGAACCACAAGUGGUCAAGUAAAAGUCCCAGACAUCUUAUUUUGAACCUAUGGCUUUGUAAUUUCACAAUAUGCAUGUCUUAAGCGUGACCCUCAGCCAGUCUGAUCCUUUAAGUAGCAAGCUGCCUGCUUGUUUUCUAGGGCACAUCUCUCCUUUGACUUAAAGACAAGCACAGUUAUCUGAAAGGUGGCUCAGAAGCAAAUGUCAGCCACAUCCUGACUCUUGUCUUGUCUAGACAGCACCUACAUGUGGGGACCAUGAACAAGCACAGAGGGACGCUGAGAACGAGGAAGAGAAGUCAAUGCAUGGGGUUCAUGUCCACUGGUGUGAUCUGAAGCAUGGUUGUGGUUGCCACCAUCAAAGUGCUGUGUGAAGGAUGGAAAUGGGCAUUAGACAACAUAAUAUCACCAGGAGAGUGUAACUUAAAAUCUGUUGUGUGUCACGCACUGUCUUUAAAACUCUGGUGUGGGAGGGCCCCUUUGGUGGAGGAAAAGCAGCUGUAGACUGCAAUAGACCCCAUCAAAUUUCCCCUUGAGUUUGUGACUCCGCUUCAUCUUUGCUUGGUAAGAAUAUAUUUUUAAUGUAUUUAUUAUUUAUUUCUUUACUCACCAGCCUUGUAAUCAAAGCUGACUGCAACACCCAUCUUUGGGUAUAACCACAAAUGUUUAGAAGGUAGUAUGAUGGGGACAGCAUGUCUACUUGGUAAUAACAAGAGUAAUAGCUUCCCCCUGAGAACCAUGACCUGCCAAACAAUGAGACUUUGACCAAGUUCUCAGCACCAGGCAUGAAUCCCUCCUGUGAGUCAGGUCUCAAGUGUAAUCAGAAAGUAAUUGGUUGCUUGCCCAGUAGUCACGCUACUGUUGUAGAAAUGGGUACAUCUUGCCUGGCAGGUCAAUAACAUAGUAUACAGGUGUUGCGUGAAGUUUUAAGCUCUGGACCCAGCCAUGCUACCAGCCCCCACCCAGUGUACUAAUUGUUCUGUGCAUCUUUAACUCUAGGAGGUGAGCGCACUACCAGCAGUCCUCCCAGCUUCCCUUGAAUCCUCCAAUAAAAGACACACACAGUUUGUUCUUUUACAGUUUGCCUUCUUGGGACAACUGUUGGGCGUUACUAUCGCCCGCCUGGAAAAGUAUAUAUACCCUUGCCAAUUUAUUAUCUCUGUCUCUCCACCUGCCCUAAACUUCAGUGGCAAGUCCCACCUAGCCCCUAUAGUAGAGGACAGAUACCCCAGUUUCCCCCACAAAACCUCACAUAAUUGCUGAGUUCUUCCUCCACAGCAUGGCAGAAACCUUCCUCCCUCUCCUUCCUUGUGUCUACCAUUUCCUUUUGGGACCUGUAAGUGCUGACUGUACGUUCCACCCAGCAAUUGGCCCCAGGCUUUCUUUACUGACAAAUCAAGAACCAAUUGGGGAGCAGGACCUUAGCACUAGAACCACUCCCAUCAUACAGGAGUCAUAGUUCUGCAAGAUUUUUUUUUAUUACAUUUCUCCUCCAGAGCAGGCUGAAUAGCAACUUUCUGGACUAUGGAAGCAGGGGCUGGGGGGUUGGAGGUGAUGGUGGGCUACAGAUCAAUGGGAAGGAUCUGAAGUGAAGAUUAGAAAUUUCUGAUCAACCAGCCACUUCAGGUAGAGCCAGCAUUGCACAUUUUAUAGUGCUCCCAGGAUGAUUGCAAUGGAUAACCAGAUGGGGAGAGCCACGGAUAGAAAGUUCCAGAUAUAAACACUAGGUUGUGGCUACAUGGACCACAUCUCUCUAGUCUCCCCAUCUGGAUAACAUUAAAUAUCCAGUGACCAUCUGGUUAGAUCAUCCCCGGACUUAUACCAUUCUUUAGAUGGCUCAGAUCUCAAUGUCUAAUGUCAUUGCAGCCUCUGAUCCUAAUCAUCCUUCUGAUGUUGGUUUGCCUUGCCACCCUUUUCUUCCCCUUCAGUAACAGCUUUGGAAGAUACACCUUGAGAUGCCCCACUACAGGCGAAAGGAUCCUGCACCACUGGAUCGUGGAUGGAGUGGAGUUCCAGACACAUAUCAGCACUCCCCGGACAAGAAAUAAGUGAAAUAUUUCACUGAGUGACAAAGACUCUAGGAUUGAUUUUCCCUCCACUAUCACAUAACCUAACCUACCCAAAGCCAUGCAGAAACAGUUUUCUAGUAAAGAGUUGUCAGAAGAAUGGAGGCCAAGACCAUACAUAGCCCAGUGUCCUCUCUCCUUUCUAAAUAGCAGAUGGCAUCCAUUACAGACAGGGAAUGUAUUACAGGUCCCUCGUUGCUUGCCCCAAAUUCAGGAUAACACCUAAGCACCCAAUAGUUUGUAGUCCCACAGUUUGUAGUCCCAUGGUUUGUAGACCCAUGGUUUGUAGUCCCACGGUUGGGUUGGGGAUUUAGCUCAGCGGUAGAGCGCUUGCCUAGCAGGCGCAAGGCCCUGGGUUCAAUCCCCAGCUCCGAAAAAAAGAAAGAAAGAAAGAAAGAAAGAAAGAAAGAAAGAAAGAAAGAAAGAAAGAAAGAAAGGAAGGAUGUUGUAGUCCCACGGUUUGAGCCCUAGUCCCUCCUGGGAUCAUUAGGUAAAGCAAGCACGACCACGAGCCCUGUGGUACUGUGAUGCUGGCCUCAUAAAACAGACAGUAAAGUGGCUAAUGAACAGAGAGUGCAUACAAUCAUCGUGCUGGACGGUGGGGUGAUGCAUGCUUUAGUGGGGCAGUACUGUAUUCAGAACAGUGUGUGUUGAAGUGGGUAGACAGAAAACAGGGGUCUACGACAAAGCCUUAAAUGCCUCUCUUCUCUGAGUCCUUGCGAGGUCUUAAGAUAUUAUUAUCCUUUAUUCUUAGACAAAUGCAAAAGCGCUUGAUCCCCUAAAAGAAACAGCACACCGGGAAGAGAACCAACUCCAAUUAGAGGACAGCAGCUUCUGUCAGCCGGCCACCAGCAGCUGCAGCUCAAAGUUGGAAAAACGCUGAAAUUAUACAUCCAAGAAUAAUGUCUGGCACUUUAUCAUGUGUAACAAUAUACUAUGCGGCCCCCUUUUAAACUGUAGAGUAGUAGCUAAUGGGAAGAACUUGAAGUAUGAUUAAAACUCCAGGUGAUUACAGUGCGAUACAAUUCUGCAACUGUUUUAGUUAGGAUGAAGACCCACAGGAGAGUUUCUAUAUGUACUCGCCACAGUGGGCACCCCAGGGUGUUGAUAUUGGGGCAACUCUGAAUGAAAGGGCAUGUACUGUUUUGUUAAUCAUCUGGGGGGAACGUUGUUUUAAAAAUUCAUCUUUAGGAGAAAAGAAUCAACACGGAGAUCUAUUACCUGGGAGGUUUCUGACACUCUUCUAGACACAAUGUCUACUAUUGUGCUUGUGUUCCGUACCUAGCCACCAGUUCCUCAAUUAAACAAAAUCAGCCUUGAGCUUAUCUGAGCUUGUCUUAUCUGAGUCCUUGUGAGGUCUUAAGAUAUUAUCCUUGAUUCUUAGACAGCAGGCUGAACAUUCUCAGUCUGCUGCUCAUAACUGUGUUAGAGAACAGAAAAGACUCCGGUUUAGGGACAUAGCCGUGCAGGAAGCAAGUUGUAGCAGACAAUGGAAACUAUCUUGUAAUCUCAGCUGUGAAAAGAACUCGAGUAAUUAAGAAAACGUUUUGUUCCCCAAGGUCUGGCUCCCCUGUUUGUUCGCUGGAAUGACUUGGCGUUUCUGGAGUUCACAACAGGCCAGAGACUGGUUCGUUAGCACUAAUCUGAUUAAGACUUGUGUUUCUUUGUUCUGUGUGUCCUCAGGUGGCAAUUUUGGCUGAACAUCUCACAUUUUUGCCUUGUGCCUAGGUACAGAAACAUAGCUUCGCCUGUGCGUUACGUAAGAAGGUCACAGAUCUCAGGCCUCGGUCUGCAGUGCUGAGCGCUUUUCUUUCCAAACUACCUUCACAUGUGAAUUUUACUGACCCUCAGGCCAUAGCACUGCAGAGCACUUAGGUACAAGCAGAGGCCGGCAUUGUCCCAGAGAAACUGACAGGGGGACAAACCAUUCCUUUUAAACUCCAUAGAAAAGUUUUCCCAAGUGUAUGUACAAAAUUAGUGUAUAAAUUUAAAUACUGCAAAUUGAAAUAAUGUAUUAAGAUAUGUGUAUACAGUUAAAUAGCUAGAAAUAAAUUUAUGAAAACUUUCUCUAAA